CCGGAAUAACUCAGUUGGUUGAGCAGAGGACUGAAAAUCCUCGUGUC
rnacentral:tRNA from 1 species